UUAUUGGAGAGUUUGAUCCUGGCUCAGGACGAACGCUGGCGGCGUGCCUAAUACAUGCAAGUCGAGCGAAUCAAUGGGAGCUUGCUCCCUGAGAUUAGCGGCGGACGGGUGAGUAACACGUGGGUAACCUGCCUGUAAGAUUGGGAUAACUCCGGGAAACCGGAGCUAAUACCGGAUAACAUUUUGAACCGCAUGGUUCAAAAUUGAAAGAUGGCGU
rnacentral:rRNA from 1 species